ACCGCUGACUAGACGGUCCGAGGUAGAGA
rnacentral:sRNA from 1 species